AUAAAAGCGAAGGAAAGCCUGGAGCGACGCUAGACCACAGCCAGUGCUGUCUGAACACGGUUAGCUCUGCACUCCACGCACUUUGCAAUGGGUCUCCUUAAGUGGGUGAUUGCAUUCUGCCUCCUCGGUGUGAUGGCAACCUCUGCUCUUACGUCCGACGUCUCGAGUGACGUCGACUUUGAUGAGAGAAGUUCCCGUGGCGCUUCUUUCACGGAUUACUUCGGAACCUCGUCUCAAAUUAAGAUUUAAGUGUGUAAAUGACAAGAUGCCAUAACAGCUUCUCAUGAUACAUUUACGGUUUUCUGAAUGCUGGAUUAUGUUAUUAUGUUAUCAUGAAAUAUGUGUUCAUGAUUUAAUGUCUUCGGCUGAAGGAAAUAAAUAGAUCAUGUAA
rnacentral:lncRNA from 1 species